rnacentral:rRNA from 1 species
UACGUAGGGGGCUAGCGUUGUCCGGAUUUAUUGGGCGUAAAGAGCGUGUAGGCGGCCAGGUAGGUCUGCUGUGAAAACUCGAGGCUCAACCUCGAGACGUCGGCGGAAACCAUCUGGCUAGAGUCCGGAAGAGGAGAGUGGAAUUCCUGGUGUAGCGGUGAAAUGCGCAGAUAUCAGGAAGAACACCCGUGGCGAAGGGGGCUCUCUGGGACGGUACUGACGCUGAGACGCGAAAGCGUGGGGAGCGAACAGG